rnacentral:sRNA from 1 species
CAUGUGGGGAAGGAUGAGAAGCUUCGACUAAGGUUCGAUUCGAGCGCAGCGAGAAAGCGUUGCCGCAGGCAACGACCCGAAGGGCGAAGCGCGCAGCGCUGAGUAAUCCUUCCCCCACCACCA